AACUGAUAACUGGUGACUGAAAUGAUAACUGAUACCUCAAAAUGAUAACUAAUAAUUGAACUGAACAAAAGAAAGUAAGGAUACGAAUACUCCCACUUCUGAAUGAUGAACAACCUGUUUAUCUGAAUAAAUAAACUGCGGCCUCAAGCCCUCUCUCUCUCUCUCUCUCUCUCUAUAAGUGUGUAUGUAUGUGUGUGUGUGUGUGUUUGUGUAUAUAUGUCUGUUAUUGUGUGUGUGAGUGUUGUGUGUGUGUGCACAACUACGGCUUGAGCCCCAAAUACAAGUGUUCAACAAUUAGGAACUGAGAAUCAAACUACAAUACAUGAUAAUGAAAUACCGAAUCACACUGAGUAACAUGGUACUAGAAUACUGGAUCAUAGUGAGUUACAUAAUACUGGAAUACUAGAUCACAAUGAGUUAUAUCAUACCGGAAUACUUGAUGGGACUAGACUGAGACAUGUAUUCUUGAACUGAUUAUGAACACUGAAACUUCAACUGUUUAUGGCAUAUUGAGUAAUCUAUACUAAGACACGGGGACAUCAAACCCAAGUCUAUAUUGAAUAUGCACUAAGCUCACAAUGUUUAGAAUAAAGCGGGGAACGAGUUAUGAAGCUAGAGAAUAUACGUUCUGCAACUAUUCAAGGAACUAGGCUAAACUAUGUUUUUGAGGUAAUUAGUAACGUCGUAAAAGAAAUGUAGUAUAAGAAGAAUCAUUAAUAUUCCCAAAUAUAGAGAGAGAGCCUCACAUACCUUAACUUCCUGCUCUUGAGCAUAAAACAACAUUCUCUAACACUUUCAACUUUAAUCUAUAUUAAUACAAGUCAAAGGGAUUCCAAAUUAGCAAUAAUAGUCAUGUUUUGGUCACUUAGGUAUUUUAUCAAACACUUGGUGACAUAAAGCUUCAAAUCCCUUAUUAAUAGUGUUUUCACACCCAAUAACCCAUUCUCUUUCUUCUAGAUAAAUUCUAAAGUCACAAAUGAUUAUAAUCCGCAUUAAUCUUUUUCAGUCAUAAGGUAAAACGUAUCCUUAACCAAUAAUCAACAAUCAACAUACCAAACCUAUAAUUGUUCAUGCUUUUGUAUCAAACUCAUCAACUCAAAUCUCAUGAAUUAGAGUUUAUAAUCAUUAUACCGGUGCUAUAAUCAAUUAGAUGAUGAAGAUAUUACCUUUUUAAAGUUCAAUCUCGUUGAAUUCGAGUUCUAAAGUUUCUUCUCUCAACAAUAAUGUCCCAAUCAAAUAUCUAAUGAUGCUAAGGGUUUGCCCAUGUUAAUAAGAUAUUGAAAAAUUUAAACUAACUUAGAAUCACCAUUAGAAUUUACCGUGGAUGGUGGAGGAUCUUUAAGGAGUUAUGUUCUUGAAAGUUUUCCUUUUAGAGCAAGCUUUUAUAUUUUGGGGCUGUGAGGGUUAAAAUAGGGCUAAAAAUGACUUCCCAAGUUGGCCAUCGUGUCCCAGUAGGGUUGACCGUGGUCCCGACAGUGGUAAAUCGCUGGAACACUGCUCACUAUCGCGGUCGUGGCCGAACGCAGUGGUUACGCAUCAUUCUGCAAAACGGGAAUAACUUUUUGCAUAGAACUCCGUUUUGGCUUCACAAUAUAUCAUUGAAAAGCUAUUUCAAAGUCAUACAACUUUCAUGCUUUGAGAUUUCUUAAAUUCUUUACGUAUUUUCAUUAAACUUGAAGGAAGACAGACCUCCUGCAAACUUAGUCGAUUUUGUCAAAUCUUAUGCAUCUCACUUUCCUUCUUGAUUUUGAAACAACUAUUUCACCCAUCAUAAUCAUCCCGAUAGGACUCCAUAUGCCUAAAAUAUAACCUUACUACUCCUUUAUCUCAUUCACACCUAAUCCAAAUGUACAGAGUGUUACAAAUAACUUUGCAGGUGGCAGCUUAAAAGUUAAAACGUAUUGAAGAUUUUAAUAUGUAAUCAGUAAUUAACAAAUGAUUUAUGCAAAAUAUUUUGUAAAGGAUUUAGCUCACAUCUCUAUAUUCAAUUUACUGAGAUCAUUUACGUGUUAAUAAAGCAUAAAAAAUGAGUUAGUAAUGUAGGAAUUGGGGACUACAAUAAGAAUAUAGUAAACAUGUGAACUAACCUAAUAUAACAGAAGCAAAAAAUGACCUCAACAGUGUAGGUGUACCUGCUAAGUAAAGGAAAUCCUCAAAUUCUACUCAUAGUAUCCACCUUCUCAGAGCUUAAAUGUAGCAAAUCCUUCAAAGCAAAAAGAUGAUAGUAAUUAGAAAGCGAUGCAAUUUAUAAUAAAUAGCUGGUAUAGAUACAGAGAUUAAAAUAGACGCAAAUAUCACAAUCUCUGAACAUAAUAACCAUAGGAUAAUCACAUAGAUCAUGUGUGCGCUAUUGAGAGCUGUGAUAAAACUACAUUUAAAGUUAAUAGACUUGUAGAACUAAGAAACUGAAGUCGCCACUUUUGAUUUGGAGUGUGGUGAGGAGCUAUUUUGAGCUUUCAACACAAUAAAUGAUCACUACUGCUGAACCUAGACACUUCUAAAGAGAAGAUGCAUAGUGUGUGCAUGUUCAACAUGCUAUGAUAGUAGCAAUUCCAUAUUCACAAUCAGUAACCUUUCAUUUGACAAGAGAUUUUAGUUGAAAAGUACAUAGUGCAAAAAGAGUGGGGAAAAAAUUUAGAAAACAGAAACACAACACAUAAAUUGCAUACUCCUCAAUACUCGUUAGGUCUUGAACCCAGAUAAUUCGCAGAUUGGCAUACGGGACGUUUGCAUUACAUUGCACCCCAUCACACCUCCUCUGGCCUUGUCCACAUUUAGUUUAAUCAAUUUCUUCUUGGAUAAAUUUCACAAUAUUUAAGACACCAAAUGAUAAAACAUAAAAAAAUAUCAGUUAAACAUAUCUCAAGUUAAUUUAUACACUAUCCAGAAGGUCAGCAAUGUGGACCAUUCAUCUAUCUGACACACACUCUAUAAGCUAUAAUUAAUUUCUUCUUGGAUCAAUUUCAUCAGCUUGUUUCAAAGAAUAAAAUUUUGAUACACCAAUUAACAAAAUAUAUGACCAUCCAUUAAAAAUUAAAGCAGCCACAAAAACUUCUUAUAGUUUACCAAGAAAGUGAGAAGUUCAUCUCUUACCUCUCAAAUAUAAGCUACCUAUUAUCCAUUAGUAGCUCCCUUUUUUUCUUGAGUUUCAUAGGAGAGACCAACUCUUGCAUGAUUUGAACUCCACCUUUUCUGUCUCCUCAUUGAAACAACAACUCCUUACACCUGAUUUCAUGUAGAACUGCAAAUCUGCUCUAAAGUAACAACAAAGAAGCAAUUCAUUAGAGUUAGUUACACGUUAUUUUUGAGUUAGCUGUGAGACUCCAGUGCAACAGAACAAUCAAUGAUAAGUUAUAAUCAAUGACCAACAUACAUGAUGAACAUAAGAAACUCUUUAGCAGCAGGGAGAACAUCAAAGAAGGUUGAAGAAACUUCUAUUACCAAGAAGAUCAUAUGAGCCUGAAAACUUGAUAUAAACCAGGUAAAGACACUACUGAGAUCUUAUUUAAGGUACAUCUUUGCCAUAUUUCAUAGAGCUCAUGAAUUGAAUAGUGCAGUUUAGCUUUGAAAUUAUUGCCACUCAACUUUUAGAAAUUGUUUAUCCAUGACAUCCGUUAAAACAAUGUUUAUUUCAUGCCAGUGUCGUUACACAUUUGGCUCUUCCAUGCAAUUAUUGACAAACGGUUGUGGCAUGGAUGGACCAAAUACAAAUUGAGUCGUUAGUCAAUAGUGGCAUGGAUAGGCCAAAUGUGUAACGACAGUGGCAUGUAAUGAACAUUUUUUAACGGAUAGCAUGAAUAGACCAUUCUUUAAAAAUGAGUGGCAUUUUUAGGCCUUCUCCGUAAAAAUUAUUGAAAUUCAUUAAAUAAAAGCAUGCCUAAAUGAACAAUAAUUUAAACAAACAAUAACGUAAAUUGUCAAGCCUGUAUGUAUUUAUUGAUUUCUGCAACGGAACCAUGAUAUCUAAGAAAAGAAGAAGAAGAAGAAUCUAGAAGAAUAAUUAGAGAGAAAAAUAGUAAAAAUGUAACUGAAAAUUCAACUAACUAUCUUGCACUACCUAACUACUAGUAUGUAUUCCUUCUAAUUGGGCUGAAUGAGAGAGGCAAAAUUGGGCUUUAUACGUGGACCAAUUCUUUGGUCUACCGUCUGCUAAAGUGGCCCAGUCCACUUAUUACACCACCAACUCCAUCUAUCUAUUUUCCCCAUUCAUAACAUUCCCUAUCCCUUCGAGAAUGAGCUUGUCCUCAAGGUCGAUGUUGAACCUCUUGAGCCACAAAAUCUGGGAAAUGAUGUUUAAAAUACCCUCAAUCUUCCCAUGUAGCAUCCUCUUCCCUAAGAUUUGUCCACUGAAUAAACACUUUAACCCCUACACCAUUUCAAUAUUUACCAUUUUCUGCUGCAAGAUGGCCACCGUUGAAUCAGUAAUUGACCGUUGAUAUCAUACAUGGGUGGAUGAAGUUGAGGUUCAAUCAAUGGACCUAUUCGUUUCUUAAGUUGAGAAACAUUGUAUACUGGGUGAAUUUGCGAGCCUUCAGGAAGUUCCAAGAGGUAAGUUACCGUUCCAAUAUUCGUUAAAAUUUUGUAAGGACCAAAAUAGCAAGCACACAACUUGACAUUCUUUCGAACCUCUAUUAGUAACUAUCUGUAUGGUUGUAGCUUAAGAUUGACUUGAUCCCCAACCUACAAAGUUCUUUCUGUCCUCGAUCUGUCAGCAAAGAAUUUCAUGCGCGAUUGUGCUCGAAUUAAGUUGUCCUUGAGUGUCUGUAUCAUAUGCUGGUGUGUUGCUAGUCUGCCCAGAACUAGGUAAUGAGCCCAAGGGUAGCUGGGGAGGUGCAUACCCAUAUAAUGCUUCAAAAGGUGUAAUCUUGAGAUUAGUGUGGUAGUUAGUGUUGUACCAUCACUCCGCCAUGUGAAGCCACCUAACCCAUUAUUUAGGAUUAUCAAAGACCAUAGCCCUUAGGUAAGUUUUCAUACAUUUGUUUAGUCUCUCCGUCUGGCCAUCACUCUGAAAGUGGUACGUUGAACUAAAACUGAAUUUGGUACCCAUAGAAUUGAAGAGAUGCUGCCAAAAGUGGCUAGUGAAAACUGGAUCUCUAUUAGACACUAUGGGUGUAGGAAUACCAUGCAACCUAUAAAUCUCAUUGAGAAACAAUUCUGCUACAUCCUAUGCUGUAAAAGGAUGUUUAAGAGGCAGAAAAUGACCAUACUUAUUGAACCUAUCAACCACCACUAGGAUUGUAUUAUUCUGAUUUGAAAUAGGAAGGCCUUCUAUAAAAUCGGUUUAUAUCUUGCCAUGCUUGUUCAGGAAUAGGAAGAGGCAGUAGUUACCUAGGAUAGUGCACAUUCUGUGAUUUCACCCUUUGACAAAUAUCACAUUCACUAACCCAUUUGCAACUGUAUUCCUUCAUCUCAGGCCAGUAAAAAUUCAUUUGUAACCUCUUGUAAGUACCUUGUUAUCCUGAAUGUCCCCCAACUAGAGAUUGAUCCAGUGCUUCCCACACUUUUCUCUUCAAUGCAUUGCUCUUUCCCACAUAUAUCUUCUGCUUGUAUCUAAUUAUCCCCUGUUGUAAUGUGUAGUUUGAAUUGUCUUGAGAAGUUAUUAUCAAUUCAGUCAAUAUCUGAGUAGCCUGAGGAUCACCUUCAUAAGAUUGAUUGAUUUCCUCUAGCCAAGUAGGUUGUGUAAUGGAGAUAGAAAAUAAGGUUGAGUUGUCAGAAUUUUCAUGUCUCCUGGAUAGAGCAUCGACUGCUCUAUUUUCAAAGCCCCUAUUGUACUGAAUUUCAUAGUCUAGCCCCAAGAGUUUAGUGAGGCCCUUCUGUUGUAAAACUAUGGUGACCUUUUGCUCUAGUAAAUAUUUAAGGAUCUGAUGAUCUGUUCUCACAAUGAAAUGACCACAUUGUAAGUAAUAUUUCUAUUUAUCCACUGUUGUUAAGACUGCCAUGAACUCCUUCUCAUAGGUAGACAAACCCCUAUUCUGGUGGCCAAAUCCUUGCUUAAGUAGGCUAUAGGUCUGCCACAUUGCAUUAGUACAGCUCCCAUUCCUAUAGAACAUUCAUCUGUCUCUACAAUAAAGAUUUAGUGAAAUCUGUCAAGGCUAAUACAGGUGCUGUGGACAUGGACUUCUUUAGAUUCUGAAAGGCCUCCUCUACAUCUUCAUUAUAUUGGAAUGAACUCUUCUUAAGUAGGUUAGUCAAUGGCCUACUAAUAAAGCCAUCGGACCUCACAAAUCUUCUGUAGUAGCCUGUAAGACCUAAGAAUCCCCUGAGUGACUUGAUUGACUUAGGUGUAGGCCAAUUCAUCAUAGAUUCUAUCUUGGCAGGAUCAACAGCUACCCCUUUGCCAGAGAUUAUACGGCCCAAAUACUCCACCAUAUCUUGCCCAAAGGCAUAUUUGGAGAGUUUAGCAUAAGGUUUUUCCUUUUGUAAAACUUGUAAUACCUGUCUGAGAUGAUCUACAUGGCUGUCCAUUGUUGGACUGUAAACUAAGAUGUCAUCAAAGAAAAUUAGGACAAAAUUUCUUAACAAGGGUCUGAAAACAUGGUUCAUCAGACUCUAAAAAGUUGCAGGGGCAUUUGUUAAGCCAAAAGGCAUAACUUUGAACUCAUAGUGUCCCAAAUAUGUCCUAAAUGCAGUUUUAUAGAUUUCAGACCUCUCCAUCCUAAUUUGAUGAUACCCAACCCUUAGAUCAAUCUCGGAGUGUAUACAAGAUCCCUUAAGUUCAUCCAUCAAAUCAUCUACUAAAGGAAUAGGAAAUUUAUCCUUUAUGGUCAUCUUGUUUAACUCCAUAUAAUCAAUGUAAUACCUCAAACUCCCAUCCUUCUUCUUCACUGAUAAUACAUGUGAUGAAAAAGGAGAGUUACUGGGCUGUAUAAUUCCACUAUUCAACAUUUCAUUGACUUGCUUUUCUAUUUCAUUUUUUUGAAGUAAUUAUACUUGUAAGGUCUAAUGCUCAUUGUUGUUGCAUCAUGAUUGAGAUGGAUGGAAUGAUCUGGCUCCUAUCCGGUGGCAAGGUCUUUGGUUCUUCAAACACAUCUGGAAAUUCUCUUAGCACUCCCCUGCUCCUUUGAGGUAUGCUUCUAUGUAUCUCAUUGCUUCCAGCUAUAAUUGUGAAUAAGUGAGCCCACAACACCUUCCCUUUCUUAAUAAGUUGUUUCAUUUCACUAGAUGUCAUGUUAUGGAGAUUUCCUUCUUCAGAAUAUCCCUUAAGGUCUACUCUUUUCCCUUUCACACUCACUUGUAACCUAUAUUCAAUGAAAUCAAAUAGAAUAGGAUUAUGCUUCCUCAUCCAAUCCACCCCUAAAGCCACAUCACAUCCCCCAAUAUCUACUAAACUUAGCUUGUGUUCAAAAUUUAUACCCUGAGUCUUCCAAAUGAAUUGAGGACAAGAUUGGUAACUCAUUAGGUAGCCUCCAUUAUCCACAACUAACCUCAUAGGCACAUCAUCUUAACUAAGCACCCUAGGUGUUUAGCAGUCUCACUAGCUAUGAAACUAUUGGUGCUUCCACUGUCUGCUAAUAUAGUUAACAUGUUCUUUCCAUGCAAUCCUCCAAGCUUGAAGGUAGUAGAAGUUAUUGUUCUUGAAAGUGCAUUGAGACUGAUGGCCUCAUCCAAUAACUCUUCCAUCACCCCAUUAGGCAUAGCUUCACCUUCUCUACUUAUUUCUGUAAUUUCCUCCUCUUGUUCAGUACUUCCAGCUAAUGUAUUUAACUGUCUAUUAUUGCACACAUGACCUGGGAAGUACCUUUCUCACAUUUGUAACAUUCAUCCCUGGCCUACCUGACUUCAAACAACUUAGUCCCUGAUAGAACUGUAUUAGAAUUGCCUUCCUUUUGUGAGUUUCCCACAGCUUUGUUCACUGUUAGUGGAUUAGAGCCUUGAUACUGGCCCACACUUUCUCACCACUGAACCUAUUCUUCUUGGCCAUGGUUUCAAUCAAAUUCUCUUUAUGCCUAGCCUUCUUCACAGCAUGACUUAAAGAAUAGGGUUCAAGCACCUUCAAAGUGUGUCUAAUUUCCUCUUUCAGACCUUCAAUAAACAACCCUAAAAAGAAUUCUUCAGGUGUAGUUGGGUAUUUUAUCAACACCCAGGCUUUCAAAUCUUCAAAUAUUUCUAAGUAUUCAUUGACAACCCAUUUUUUCUACCCUUUUAAACUCCCCUAAUAACUUCAAAUUACUAUUAUCUGGGUCAUUAAAUCUCUUGCAGAUUUCCUCAAUAAAAUAUGUCCACCACACAAUUCCUCUACUCAAUUGAUAAGAAAAGUACCAAUAUCCAGCUCUUCGAUCAAGAUGAAGGACUACUGAUUCUAAUUUCUGUUGUGAGUCUGUAAUAUGAUUGUAAUGAAAAUACCAUUCACAUUUGCGCAGCCUCGAUCGAGGAUCUCCUUCCUUAAAGUAUGGAAACUUCACUCCAGAAGCAACAUUGUUCACCAGAAUUCGACCAGUCUGCUGCUCUGAUGGUUUUGCUCUCCUCACUCUCCUUCUACAGCCUUCCAAUUGUAGACCAUCAGCUAGUGGGCUCCCCAAGAUGUCGUCUCUGUGAGAAAAGAAUUUUUCCUUUACCACAUCGAAUUUCCUAUUCAAAUCAUCCAUUUUUGAAUCAUUGGACUCUAAUUUUUGUUUGUUUCAGUCAUGUAACUUUGUAACUGAUUUUCCAAUUUCUUUGCAUUCUCCUCCAUGGUUUUAGCUCUCGUCUCUAUUAUAGUCAUAGCGCCAGGAUAAUGCUCCGAUACCAAAUUAUUAUGUCUCGAUGCGAUUUAGCAAUUGAUUGUAAUUCAGAAAUUGAAAAAUAAAUAGGCUCUUUAUUCAAUCACAAGAAAUAGUAAUCUCCAUGGUUACAUGCAACUGUAGACUGAGAAUUGGAACUAAGAAGAAGAAAAAGAAAGAAGAAGAAGAAUGUAGAAGAAGGAUUAGAGAGAAAAAUAGUGGGAAUGCAACUGAAAAUUCAACUAAAUAUCUUUCACUACCUAACUAUUGGUAUUUAUUCCUUCUAAUUGGGCUGAAUGAGAGAGGCAAAAUAGGAUUUAUACUUGGCCCAAUUAUUUGGUCUACCAUUUGCUAAAGUGGCGCAGUCCACUUAUUACACCACCAAUCCUAUCUAUCUAUUUUCCCCAUUCAUAACAUAUACUUCAAGUAAUACUAUCAUAUCAUGGACAUAUGUUUCACGCUUUUUACUUGAAAAGAAACUAAAUUUAGUUGAGGAGCUUUGGCGGAUAGGAGACAGAAUCAUCGCCUACAAAUAUACAGCGACAUACACAUGCUAAUAUGUCCAAACCUAUAUAAACAAAUAAAAAGUAUUUUAUCCAAUAAGCCGUAAGUGACUGAUUUUAAGAAAAUAUAUACAGCCUGGCAUGUAAAGGCAACAAAAAACAACUAUAGAAAUCCCUAAAUAAAGAAUUCAGAAAAAAAAAAAAAAAAACAGGUUGAACUCACUACAAGCGAGAACCAAAAAGCUUUAGACUCCAUCCUAAAUUUCCCGUUCAAAUAUUUAACAGAUAAAUUAGUGAUGAGCAAAGGAGAUUAGAAUAGAGCUGGUUCGAGCUCCAAGAAGAAGAGGAGGUUGAAGGAACCGAACAACAGAAGAGGGGGAUAACAAAAUAACCUUGAAUUCCUUUUAGUUAUUGUAAAUUCGUGCACUUGAUAGAAAAAGCGUAAUAUCUGAACAACAUCCCCGAGAUUUCAGAGGAAGGAUCGAGAAGUUUGAUUAGCAAAAGGGAAUAAGAUGGGAAACGUGAAUGGAAGCCACGUCUCACGGGAAUGUACUAAAAGUCGAUAUUACCCUUAAUUUUGAAUUUUAUUGACUAGGUUGAUGCAGUCCAUGCCAGCACAGGACCAACGUUAUUUAACUCUUUGUGCUAUCUAGUUGUAAAUAUAAUGUAAAUUAAUGAUGUAAGUAUAGAAUCCAGUAGAUAAUAUAUCAUACUAAGUAGUAUACACUUAAUUUACAAAUAUAUUAAACAAAAUAUACAUUGUUUGCAUAAGCAAUGAUGAAAUAGAGAUGAAUAUGUGAACUUUCAACUACUCAAAUUUAUGAAAAGAAAAAUAGAGACUAUACAAUAUAGCGUAAUUACAAUAGCAGUCACACUAAGAAGAACCUAAACUCUCACACAUAUAAUUGUUAAACUUCACUUAGCAAUACAACCGGAUACAUUAUUACUUCAACCAGCAACCCAAAGAUCAAAUUCAGGAAAAACCCACUGAUCAACAACCAACUACAACAAAAUUCACAAUCAUACAUGACAAAAGGUAGAGGGAGUUCAAACCAAAUAAGAUAUGGAAGAUAUGAUGCUAGAAAAGGAGAGAGAGAAGUGGAGAAGUGAUACGUGGCUGUUCAGUUGUAGGUCGUCAAACACGUUCUUUAGGUAAUUAUAUUAAAAAGACAGAUAUGCCCUCAGCUAGAAAAGUUUGACAUGAAGCAGCCAUGUCAAAACUCUUUCAAGGCAGAGACUACACGGCAUAGCAUAAAUUCAUAGCCAGUCACACUAAGAAGAACCCAAACUAUCGCACUUAGACUUUUCUUCUGAAUUAAUCACUCCAAAAUAAUAAUAAAUAAAAGAGGAUUCUGACCAAGAACAAAAAUAUCAAUUGAUAAGGCUAUAUAUGUUUACGGAAUUUGAUAACGAAGAUUACAUGCUUGUUGUAGAAGCGAACAAUUGAAAUACACAGGAUGACAAAAUUUCAGGUAAGCAACACAAAAAGUACAUGUUUAAUAGUUGAAGCAUAUAUGAAACAGAAAAUAAUUGAAACGAAAAACAAUUGCGAUAAACUUUGUAGCUUAAGCAUUUAAACCCCUAUGUGUAAAUUGUGUAUCUUUAAUGGUCUUCUAAGAGAUGAGGUGUUAGCUUUUCCCUUUCAAUUAAUUUUUCACAUAUCUUGUUCUCUAUUUUUUUAUCUUCUUUUGGACUUCUUUUGAGUUUCUCCGGCCUUCUUAAUUUAGCUAUUUAAUGGCUGUGGAAUCCCUUCACCUUCAACCUCAAGUUUUAUUUAUUGUAUCUUUCUCUUACUUUAUCUUUCCUUUUUUUCUCAAAGUACUUAAUAAAGUUUACUGGUGAUUUAAGCGUGGUCAUGAAAACAAAAGAAAAUCGAACAUCAAAACAAACUUGACAUAUUGAAGAAUCUAAUACAUUCCAAACAUAGUAAAUGCAUUAGUAAUACCUAAGAGAGCUAUGUCAAGCAAUGAACAGAGCCUUCUCCAAUUUUAUUAUGUUUGCCUUCUCCAGUUUUAUGACUCCUUUGAUAUAUUUUUAUACAAACUAGAAAGAUUAUUAAUUAUUGAAAUUAAAUAAAGAACACUUACAUUGAAAUAAGUAAAACAUUUUCAUUAAAUCUCUUGUAUAUAAGACUCUUUACAUGAGCAACGAAUUCAAAUAGAAAUACAUGUAAAAAGUUAAAAAUUACAAGAAAGAUAAUGUAAGAGCUAUUGUUAUAGUAUUUCAAACACGAUGUUUAGUGAAGAAGAUCAAUUAUAUGGUUGGCAACAACUUACUAUUCAAGCAGGAAACUUGCUGAGAACCAGUUAUUACAAUCUCUCUUUGCAAAC
rnacentral:lncRNA from 1 species